AUGAUCCCAGGCUUCACCAGUGUGAUUUUCUUUGUGCUUUGGGCUGCAGAUGUUUCUCAGUCUGUGCUGAUCACUCAGUGGCCCCACUACAUCUCCAGUCCUCCCAGUGGCUCAGCAGAAAUGCACUGCUACCAGAAUGACACCGAUUAUCCAUAUCUGUUCUGGUACCGACAGCCGAGAGGAGAAAGUUUUCAGUUUAUUGUGUCUGUAGUAGCUGGGACUGUAAACUACGAAGAAGGAUUCAAAUCUGGUUUUCAGGCAGUGAAAUCAAGCGACAAGCAGUGGUCUCUGACAAUAACCAGCGUUCAGCAUAAAGAUGAGGCAGUUUAUCUGUGUGCUACCACUCAAUCGCUGUGUCAGAACGAAGCUUAUUUCGGCCAGGGGACAAAACUGACUGUUCUUGAAGAAAAUCUACAGAUCACCCCACCGACAGUGAAAGUGCUUCCUCCUUCAGAAAAAGAGUGUAAAAACAAGAGAGGCAAUGCGGAGAAGACCAUUGUAUGUUUGGCCAGUGGAUUCUACCCAGACCAUGUCAGUGUGUCCUGGCAGGUCGGUGGAGAAGACGUCACCACUGGUGUGGCGACUGACAACGCUGCCCUGCGGAGGAAGAACAAGACUUACACCAUCACCAGCAGGCUGAGGGUCUCUGCCAAAGAGUGGUACAACCCCAACACUGAAUUCAAGUGCACUGUCAGCUUCUACAAUGGGACAGAUACAGAAUAUAACUCAGAUUCAAUUUCUGGAGACAAAGCUAAAGAAGGUGUCCUGACAAGAGAGAAAUAUCUGAAGAUCACACAGACUGCCAAACUCUCCUACGGUGUUUUCAUCGUCAAGAGCAUGGUCUACGGAGUCUUUGUGGCGUUCCUGGUGUGGAAGCUUCGGAAUUCGAGUGGAAAGCGGAACCACUGAGAGCUGAGCUGAGCAGAUGCAUUCUGGGAAGUCGAAAAUGUUUUUGUAAAUAAGCGCUGAACUUUGUAUGUUGCAGUGUAUUUGCAUUCUGCUAAAAUAGAUGAACAGUCAUGUGUGUAUUCUUGUUAAAGGGUAACUUCGGUAUUUUUUUGACAGGCUCAUAUUAUGAUUAGAAGUGUCUGACAACAUUAUAGAAAGGAUCCCUGCAGAGAUAGACCUUUUUGUUAAAGAGUAAUAUCAUUUUUAACUAAAAACAGCCUCAAAAUCGCUAUCGUCAAAACCAGCCAGACUCCAUUCAAAUAAAUAGUAAUUUAAGCGAGUACAGAGGCAGCAUAUAUUCACAUUUAACUCUGUGAAUUGAAGGUUUGUUUCUACCAAACCAGAGUUGGUGAUUGCAGAACAGUGGAAAGACCAACCACAAUAAAUUUUCUGAGUUUGAUUUGGUUUCUGUUGGCUUUGAAUAAAGUCCGUUGUACAAUGAUAAAAUUACAGUUUAUUUAAAUGGAGUCUGGUGGGUGUGACGAUAGCGGUGUUUCUGUUUAAACAAAAAGGAUUUUACUCUUUAAUCUCUGUAGGGAUCCUUUCCAUAAGUUGUCAGACACCUAUACUACCAAUCUGAGCCUGUCAGUGGCAAAAACAAGCACUUUAAAUAGACUCAAAUUGCUGGUGCACAAUUGCCCAAUACUGUUACAUUGCAGCCUGUUUCGUCGCUGCUGGUUGCGCACUCUUGCUCAAUAUUAAACCAAUUUCAAGAAUUGUUGUUCCCAUCAGUCACUUAGACUCAAAAGCAUGGAUAUAUAAAGUCCAGGUUGGAAAAUACUGAAUUUGCCCUUUAAGUUAUAACUGACAUGUAGAUAUGUUGACAUCACAUUUUCAUAAAUACUUCUGAUAAUAAUUCUGUUUGUGGUUGCAAAUUGCUUGUUUGCUUAAUUUGCUUCUCAAUAAAAGUGUUUCAGAGGAUCAAA